rnacentral:lncRNA from 1 species
CGAAGAAAUCGACAAUAAACCACCAGAGCGUAGAGGAAUGAACGAGAACUAAAAGUACGAUCAAAUGUAGAGAGAGAGAGAGAGAGAGAGAGAGAGAGAGAGAGAGAGAGGAUUAUUCGGAAGGUUCUGGUACUCUGGUUGCUGGGCCUCGCUGAGUCCAGAUUUUUUUGGUCCAAUUUCAUCCAAUUUAAUAUUAUGAUUUAUUUAUUGGGUAAAUUACGGCGCUCAUAUAUUAAAUUACGAAAAAAUAAUAUUAUGUUUGGAUAAUUACAAC